rnacentral:rRNA from 1 species
GAUGAACGCUAGCGGCAGGCCUAACACAUGCAAGUCGAGGGAGAAGCCCUUCGGGGCAGAAACCGGCGCACGGGUGCGUAACGCGUAUGCAACCUACCUUUCACAGGGGGAUAGCCCGAAGAAAUUUGGAUUAAUACCCCAUAAUAUUGUUGGAUGGCAUCAUUUAGCAAUUAAAACUGAGGUGGUGAAAGAUGGGCAUGCGUCCUAUUAGCUAGUUGGAGUGGUAACGGCACCCCAAGGCUACGAUAGGUAGGGGUCCUGAGAGGGAGAUCCCCCACACUGGUACUGAGACAGGGACCAGACUCCUACGGGAGGCAGCAGUGAGGAAUAUUGGUCAAUGGUCGGAAGACUGAACCAGCCAUGCCGCGUGCAGGAAGAAUGCCUUAUGGGUUGUAAACUGCUUUUAUAUGGGAAGAAUAAGGUGUACGAGUACAUUGAUGACGUACCAUAUGAAUAAGCAUCGCA